ensembl:lncRNA
UUUUUUUUUUUUUUUUUUUUGAGAUGGAAUCUCUCUCUGUCACCCAGGCUGGAGUGCAAUGGCAUGAUCUCGGCUCACUGCAACCUCCGCCUCCCGGGUUCAAGCGAUUCUCCUGCCUCAGCCUCCCGAGUAGCUGGGAUUACAGGUGCGCACCACUACGCCCAGCUAAGUUUUUGUAUUUUUAGUAGAGACGGGGUUUCACCAUGUUAGCCAGGAUCGUCUCUAUCUCCUGACCUUGUGAUCCACCCACCUCAGCCUCCCAGAGUGCUGGAUUACAGGCGUGAGCCACCGCGCCAGGCCUCCAAAGUAAGUCUUAAUGAAUAUUACAUAGUAUUCAAAUGAAUGAGUGGGCGUAGAAGGUAAGAAGAUAAGGUUCCCUCAAUGUUUUUUAGCGCAAUAUCUGACAUUCGAAAAAUUGUACAUUAUCAUUUUUUAUUUUUCUUUCUUUCUCUCUUCUCUUUCUUUCUUUUUCUCUCCCUUUCUUUCUUUCUUCUUUCUUUUUCUUUUUUUAAUGCAGUCUUACUGUAUCGCCCAGCCUGGAAUGCAGUGGUGUGAUCUCAGCUCACUGCAGUCUCAACCGUCCAGGUUCAAGUGAUCCUCCUACCUCAGCCUCCCGAGUAUGUCUACUGGUAUGCACCAUCAUACCUGGCUAAUUUUUUUUUCUUUUUUUCUUUUUAGAGACAGGGGUUUCACCAUGUCAUCCAGGCUGGUCUCAAACUCCAGAGCUCAAGUGAUCUGCCUGCCUCAGCCUCCCAAAGUGCUGGGAUUACAGGCAUGAGCCACUGUGCCUGGUCAUUAUUUUCUUUUUCUUUUUUUUUUGAGACAGAGUUUUGCUUUUGUUACCCAGGCUGGAGUGCAAUGGCGCAAUCUUGGCUCACUGCAACCUCUGCCUCCCAGAUUCAAGCGAUUCUCCUGCCUCAGCCUCCCAAGUAGCUGGGAUUACAGGCACCGGCCACCACGCCCAGCUAAUUUUUGUAUUUUUAGUAGAGACAGGGUUUCACCAUGUUGGUCAGGCUGUUGUUGAACUCCUGAUCUCCAGUGAUCCGCCUGCCUCGGCCUCCCAAAGUGCUAGGAUUACAGGCGUGAGCCACCGUGCCCGGCCUUAUAGAUUUAUUAAUUUGUUGAGCACAGGCAAGUUAGACGCUAAGAAUACCAACAUAGAAAAAGCACAGAACCUGCUUCAUGGGACUUACUGGGUAGAAACAGAGGAUCGGAUGAGAAAAUGGGUAAUUACAACAUGAUGUCAUGUGCUAUAACAGAGGUAAGCACAGGCUUCCAUGGGCCCCAAGGAGGGUUCUCUAACCCAGCCUGCAAUGGUAAGGGAAAGUUCCCCAGACGUAAUGGCACCAGAGCUUAGUCUUGAAAGAACAGGAAUUACAGAGGAGAAGUGGGGAUGGUUGAGGGCAUUCCCAUCAAAAAACCCAGAGAAGGCCGAGUGUGGUAGGAUGACAGGUGCCUGCCAUCACAUCUGGCUAAUUUUUUGUAUUUUUAGUAGAGGCGGGUUUCACCAUGUUGGCCAGGCUGGUCUCGAACUCCUGACCUCAGGUGAUCCACCUGCGUUGGCCUCCCAAAGUGCUGGGAUUGCAGGCGAGAGCCACUGUGUUGACCUAUUUCUUUUUUUUUGAGACAGGGUCUCACUCCGUCGCCCAGGC